CUGUCUAGUAACCAUGUCUGAAACUCUGAAACACCGUGGGACUAUAAAGCAUAGGUUCUCGACCCUCAGAUGGAACAAAGCCAUUUCAAAUUUAACUGAUAAGCAAAAAGGAUAUGUUUCGAAACAUGAUCUGGAUAAUCUGUUGCACAUCAAUAGGCAUCUCAUUGUCCCCAUCGGAUUCAUGCAAUGGCUUGCCGACCAUACUCGCUCAAAUGAUGUCUUCAAGCACAAGAACAAAGUUAUUCAUAUCCGAAGGGAAAUGGCCAUUCAGGUUUUUGGAAUUCAAUCUGGUUCUGAACCUUUUCCUACCGAGAGCAAUGAUCCUGCUGUAGUAGCAAAAGUUAAGGCACUCAGUGAUAAAUAUAAAUUUGGAAGUAGGAACAUUCCAAUAGAAAACAUUGUCAACAUGAUGAAGAAUGAUGAAGCUGAGGAAGGUUUUAUUUGCAGUUUGUUGUUUCUGUUCGUCUCAACAGUUCUCUGUCCAAUCACUGGCAACUACGCGAACUGGAAGCUUCUGUACGGUCUGCAUGACAUUUCACAGUUGCAUAAGUAUGAUUUGGCAACAUAUUUGCAUCAAUCACCCGAGUGAAGAGAUCGAAAGCUUUCACGAAAAUAUUUUUAACAGAGUCUCAGUUGAUUUGAAAGAUCCUAUCUGGGUUGGCGGCUGCCUGCCCAUGCUUGCUAUCAUAUAUAUAUGGAUUUUCUGGAUCUUACUUCUGCAAGGCCAUUUAGGAGCAUUAACUACAAUGUCCCCAGAAUGGUUCAUGUGCAGAAUGAUAAUUUACUUCACGCAGCUAAUGUUGAUUUCAAAAGGACAACUAACAAACCAGUAGCCUAUGGAGCACUGCCUUGUUUGCUUCAUAUGAGAAGAUUUUAGUUUUGAUGCAAUUCUUUUAAAGAGCUUCGAGACAUUUCCACCACACCAUAUGGAGCUCGUCCACUAGCAUUGGUUGAGGAUACAGGUUUCAACGCCCCACAAGGAACAUUGCCCACAGGACCACCGCAAGAUGAUGUGUUAAAAUCAUCCAACCAACCUGAAGUAGUGCAAGUAAUAUCAAAGGUGGUUGCCAAACAUGAUGAGCUAUGGAGAAAAACUCAUGAGGAACACAUGUCUCGAAUGCGUGCAGAGUUGGCAAGCAAUGUGUCUUCUAUCAUUCCAAGCACCAAUCCUAUGAUGGCAAAUACUCCCGCCCCUCCUGUUAUUAUCAGCUAAUACCAAGGGACAACAACAACUCAGUCAACAGUGGCCAAUAACAGUCAGGGAAUGUUAUCAAUGAUGGUUACCAAACACGAUGAUUUGUUGAAGAAAGUACAUGAAGAACAAGUAUCUAAAGUGUUGGCAGAUAUGAGCAUAAGUGUGACUCCUUGUGCACAAAAUGUGUCCUCCCAGUGUAAUGAUGAAGCAAAAACUCAUGUUACUCGCAGUAGCAAUAGCCACAACAAUGACAGUGCUCUUGUGCGAUACCAGGCAACGGCUGCUGUCAGUCAUGAUCAGCAAGUUAACAAGAACAACAUUAUCUUCCAUACAAGUGCAAUUCUUUUUUGAAGAUGACAAUGAUGUUGGCAAAUCAAUUGGACAAUCACAACUUAGACUUCCAUACAAAGAUUGUUCUUCUACGAGAGUGGUUCCUGAUAUUCAGCACGACAUAACCCUUGCUAUGAGCUAUGUUGAUGGUACUACUUCGGGAAAUGAUGUAGGGUCGAUGCCCUCUGAUGUUAAUGAGACAAAUCCUCCAAAUGUUCUAUCUGGUCGUAGUACCAUCGAGAAAAGAAAUAGGAAGAAAAGAAAAGCAAAAAUGUUGUCCCCUGCAUCUCCAUUAUCAACACUGAAUCUAGAACCAACUAUUAACAACUUCUACCUAAAGUACCUAAACUACAAGUUCUUCAAAGACAAUUCUAGAUUUUAACGACCAAACGGUGUCAUAUGAAAAGUCCUGCAAUGCUCUAAAACCAAUUGGCAAAGUCAAUGAUGAAGUCAUGGAUGCCUAUAUUGCAGUUUUCAACCAUGAGAAUGUGAACCCUAAUCCGAAAUCAAAGAAGCCUUCGAAAUUCUCAUUCUCAACGCACUUUACAACUAAAUUGCUUGUGGAGCCUGCAAAAUUCGGCACUAGGUCUUGCCUUCGAGAAUUCAAGAGAAUCAACACAGGAAACAACCUGCACAAAUGUGACUUGCUUUUUCUCCCUAGAGUAAAUUAAUUCCAUUGGACGUUCUUUUGUGUCAACAACCUUUUCGAAACAAUCAACUUCUUUGAUUCAGCAAAUAGCGUCCACGCUGAUGAACUCAACAUCCUCACAACAAACCUGAUUACCAACCUCAGCACUCUAUUCAAGGCAUCCAACUGCAGUUUCGAAGAAUUCGUAAAGUUUUCUCCUGAAAACUAUCCCAAACAACCUAACUUGCAUGACUGCGCUAUCUAUGGCAUGCUAUACAUGGAUUGUUGGAAUGGAAAAGACAUGAAGGAGUUUGAACAAGAAAUCGUUCCCCAAUUCCGUAAGCUCAUUGCAUACAAGAUAGGAACUUCAAUCAGAACAAGUUCCAGUUCGAGAAGAUGAAUGCCGAUGUCACAAAGAAGAGGAGAACCCGCCGUUAGGUUUCGUAGUCGAACUAGUAUGAUAUGAACUAGGAUUAACUGGUUUCUUUUUUCGUGUUUCAUGUUCGCCGUUAGGUUUCCGAUGGGAGUUACAGCACUAUGUAUAAAAUGAUGAACAUGGUUGUGUUUCACUCUCAGAAUUUUGAGAAACUAGCAUCGACAAAAAACAA